UUUUUUUUUUUUUUUUUUUUUUUUUUUAACAGCUAAACCUGUGGCAUAUGCAAGUCCCCAGGGUUGGGGUUGAAACUGAGCUGCAGUGGCAGCCUAUGCCACAGCCACAGCAACACCAGAUCUGAGUCGCAUCUGCAAACUAUGCUGCAGCUUGCAGCAAUGCCAGAUGCUUAACCCACUGAGUGAGGCCAGGGAUGGAACCCACAUCCUUCCAGAGAUGUCGGGUCCUUAACCUGCUGAGCCACCAUGGGAACUUUGAGAUAGGCAUUUUAUUUAUUUAUUUUUUAUAUAAUGAUUUUUAUGUUUUUCCAUUAUAGCUGGUUUACAGUGUUCUGUCAAUUUCCCACUGUACAGCAAUGGUGACCCAGUUACACAUACAAGUAUACAUUCUUUUUUCUCACAUUAUCAUGCUCCAUCAUAAGUGACUAGACAUAGUUCCCAGUGCUACACAGCUGAAUCUCACUGCUAAUCCAUUCCAAAGGCAAGAGUCUGUAUCUAUUAACCCCUUCCCGCUCCCUCCCCCUUCCCCUUGGCAACCACGAGUCUCUUCUCCAAAUCCAUGAUUUUCUUUUCUGCGGAAAGGUUCAUUUGUGCCACAUAUAAGAUUCCAGAUAUAAGUAAUACAUGGUGUUUGUCUUUGAGACAGACAUUUAAAAAAGAUCAUCCCCAUUCUAUAGAUGAGAAGACUGUAGCACAAAGGGAUUAAAGUAGUUUGCUCUGAGCUUCAUAGUGAGAAUUUGAGCCCAAGAAGUCUGGGAGGGAGGAGGACAAUUAGGAUAGUGGGCCUCUGCCCAUGGAGAGACUGGUCAUGAGCUGAUGUGGCAUAAACCUGAGAGGGAAAACCUCCUUAAAUUUGUGCCCUUGGCUCCUCUCUUGCCUUACUCUUGUUCCAGCCCUGUGACUAGGGCAUGGCUGUCCAGAGAGAACCACAUGACUUGGGGCCAGGAAAGGUUGCCAGAGCCCAGAUGAAGGGUCUUAAAACCCAGGAGCUACGAACAACAUGUUGUACCUCCCCAGCAUUCACAUGUUGAAGUCCAAUCCCAGAUGUGAUGACCUCAGGAGGUGGAACCUUUGGGAGAUGAUGAGGUCAUGAGGGUGGCACCCUCAUGAAUGGGAUUUGUGUCCUUCUACAAGACAGCUCAGAGAACUCCCUUUCCGCUCUGUGAGGAUACAGCGAGAAGACGGCUGUCUGCAAACCAGAAAGCGGACUCUCACCAGACAUCAAAUCUGCAGGUGCCUUGAUCCUUGACUUCCUAGCCUCCAGAAACAUAAGAAGUAAAUUUCUGUCAUUUACAAGGCACCUGGUCUAUGGUGUUUUUGUUAUCAUGGCCCAAGUGGACUAAGACAUCAGACUAAAAGCAAUGAUGGUCUAGUAGGUGUUUUUAAGCAGAAGCGUGGCAUGAUUCAAGGACCCAUGAAAGCUCACCCCAGCAGCAGAAUGGAAGCUGUAUGGAAGGAAUGAGACUGAGAUGAGAAAACAGGUAAAGGGUUAGGAGUCCAGAUAAGAGCAUGAGAGCAGGGACAGCUUAGGGGGGAGGAGAGAACAAAGGUGGAAGGGGGUUCAAAGAUGUUAAUAAAAAAUAAUCACUAGCAGGGGUUGAGUAAUUUCUGUGAGAAAGGCUUUGGGCUUGGAGCUUUCCAUGUGUGUUCUCUUUUAAUCCUCAGAUCAACCAUAUUUAGUUGGUACUCCUGUCGCCGUUUUAUUUUUGUCUUUUUUUUUUUUUUGGUUGUGCUCACAGCAUAUGGAGAUUCUCAGGCUAGGGGUUGAAUCAGAGCUGUAGCUGCUGGCAGCCACAGCAACUCGAGAUCCAAGCCACAUCUGUGACCUACACCACAGCUCACGGCAACACCAGAUCCUUAACUCACUGAGCAAGGCCAGGGAUCAAACCUGCGUCCUCAUGGAUGCUAGCGAGAUUUGUUUCUGCUGAGCCACAAUGGGAACUCCUUGUCCCCAUUUGAGAUGAGGGAGCUGAGGGUUUAGUGAGGGAAAUGUCACUGGAAGGACCUUCUUCGAAGUUGUGAACAUAGGUAGACACAGUCCUGUGAUGCACAAAAUCCAAGCGAAGUAUCAUUUAAGGACAGUAAUUGAGUACAGUAAAAAUCUAAAAUCGUGUGAAUUUUGAUAUAAUGCAGUUGGCAGAUGGGGUCUUGUAUUCAUCCAGCUCAUAUUCUCACGCAGAGUGGGUUCGUAUUCUCAGUGGGCCAUGGACAGGAUGCAAGUUGAUCUCAGAAUCUCCAGUUUCUCAGUGUCCUUGACCAGGUCAGCAAAGAGUGCAAAUUACUGGAAAAAUGUCUGGAGUCCCUGGAUCCCUGGGAAUCUGGCCCUGGGAAUCUGGCCCUGGGAAUCUGGCCCUGCUCAUCUACUGGGCAUUGCCCCCCAAAUAGCAUCAAACCCUAGACUUGGAUAUGGAUCCUGCAGUCACAGUCCCAAAUUUAAUGGCAUAGAUUCAUCAUGAGGCCCUAACCAGCGCUUCAUUAACUUUGCAAUUAAGAUGACCCUGCAUUUUACACACCUGCAUUUUUGUACUUUACUUUUGAUAUUAUAUGGGGUUUCAACAUGCAUGUACUCCUAAAGAUCCAGAGGAAUAUGGAAAGAAUAUAGAAUUUUGACAAGUUCAAAGCUCUUUACACCUACAUGGAAAGAGAGUUAAAUAAGAGCAAAAAGAAAUGCAAAGGAAAAUUCAAGGGCUUCAGGAAGGGGAAGAAUUAGGUAAUGUUACAGUGUGCAAGCUGAAUCCAGGAGACAUGGAUUUGAAUCUAAGAGGCCAGACUUUUAAAAGGCAUCAGCAAAGCAAGUAAAGGGACUGUCUCAGUGCCAUCUGGUCAUUAAGCAACUGUCCUUUACUGAGAAGAUGCCCCAGGGAAUAGCUGGGUUGAGAUGACAUAAUUGUUUCCUAUGUAGUUAUGAAUCUUUUUUUCUUUCUUUCUUUCUUUUUUUUUUUUUUGCCAUUUCUUGGGCCACUCCCAUGGCCUAUGGAUGUUCCUAGACUAGGGGUCUAAUUGGAGCUGUAGCUGCCACCCUACGCCAGAGCCACAGCAACACGGGAUCCGAGCCACGUCUGCGAUCUACACCACAGCUCACGGCAACACUGGACUGUUAACCCACUGAGCAAGGGCAGGGAUCGAACCCGAAACCUCAUGGUUCCUAGUUGGAUUCGUUAACCACUGCGCCACCACGGGAACUCCUGUAGUUAUGAAUCUUUUAAUCCCGGAAAGAUAAGGAAUUCAGAAUAGACAUGCUCAAGACAUCAGCGAAGGGAACUCCUGCCAUGGCUCAGUAGAUUAACGAUCCAGCUUGUCUCUGUAGCAUUGCUGGUUCACUGACGUGGGUUGGGGAUCCUGUGUUGCUGCAGCUGUGGCAUAGGUCACAGAUGCAGCUUGGGUUUGAUCCCUGGCCUGGGAACUUACAUAUGCCAAGGGUGCAGCCAAAAAAAAAAAAAAAAAAAAAAAAAAAAAAAGGAGAGAUUGGUUAAGACUUUCUGUUUAAGUAUGUGUACUGUUUGAGCAAUUUGGCUUAUUAAAAUAAUAGCUAACUUUGUGGUUCUGAUUUGAAUGUAAUUGAAUAAUUCAUUUAUACUUAGUAUUUCAGUUGGAAACUUUUAUGGGGUAUUGAAUAUUUUAAUAUAAUAUAAGAAUUAUCAUACUUAUAAGUUUAAUGUAUUAGGUUUAUAAGCCUUCUUUAAAUAUUUGGGAAGGCUUAUUUGUUGGUUAAAAUACUUUAAAAGGGGAGUUCCCAUCGUGGCGCAGUGGAAACAAAUCCCACUAGGAACCAUGAGGUUUUGGGUUAGAUCCCUGGCCUUGCUCAGUGGGUUAAGGAUCAGGCGUUGCUGAGAGCUGUGGUGUAGGUCACAGACACAGCUCAGAUCUGGCAUGGCUCUGAUUAGACUCCUAGCCUGGGAACUUUCGUGUGUAGCGAGUGUGGCCCUAAAAAACAGUAUAUAUAAAAAAAAAAACUUUAAAAGGAAAUUCAAUAAAUAUAUUACAUUCAAUACUGAGGUUUGAAGUCCUUAAGGGCAUUAAUUUAUACAUUUGUAAAAUGAGUCAAAUAUUAUCAAUAUCUCCUAAAAGUUGAUAAAAGUUUUCUGAUUCAUAAAUAGAACAAUAUGAUUUGUAAGCUGAAUUGGUCUUAAGGCUGAUUGAGGUUUUUAAUUUUUUUUUUUUUAGUAUUGAAUAUGAGUUCUGAAGAGCCAUAUAGCCUAUGAAGUUAUUUUUUUUAUGCACUAACGCUACCCUCAGGGAAAUACAUGAUAAUGGAGGAGUCUUACUGGCUGGAAGGUAGUCUGCUAAAUUCACAGGGCUAGCAAGCAGCAGAGGCAGGAUUCAGAUCAGAAAGCCUGAUACCCACCCCACUGCACCCAAUCCUGAUAAAAAAACCAUCCGCAUCCCUUUGUUUCUCUAUAGACAUGAUUUUCUUUCCCAGUGGCCUACGAGCAACAUGCUUGCCAGGCUUCCUUUCAUCUUUAAACCCCCCAGUCCCAGCUUGGUGCCCUUGAGGAUCUCAGCAGGAGCCCGUGUGUGUGUGUGUGUGUGUGUGUGUGUGUGUGUGUGUGUGUUUAAUAAAUGAGUGAGGAGAACGCAGUGAGAGUAGCACCUUGGAGCUUCUCCAAGAGAGGGUUUCAAAUGUCAACCUCCACCAAGUUCCAAUGUCAAAUUCCACCAAGUUGGAGCUCCCAUCAUGGCUCAACAGAAACGAAUCUGACUAGCAUCCAUGAGGAUACAGGUUUGAUCCCUGGCCUCACUCUGUGGGUUAAGGAUCCGGCAUUGCUGUGAGCUGUGGUGUAGGUCGCAGAUGUGGCUCUGAUUCCGCAUUGCUUGUGGCUGUGGUGUAGGCCAGCGGCUAUGGCUCCAGUUUGAGCCUGGGAACCUCCAUAUGCCAUGAGUGUGGCCCUA
rnacentral:lncRNA from 1 species